rnacentral:tRNA from 1 species
GUAAUGAAGUAAUAAUUACAUUUAGUUUCGACCUAAAAUUAGAGUAUCCUACUCCUUACU